GACUCCAUGAAGCUGGAUUCGCUAGUAAUCGCGCAUCAGCCACGGCGCGGUGAAUACGUUCCCGGGCCCUUGUACACACCGCCCGUCAAGCCAUGGAAGCCGGGGGUGCCUGAAGUGCGUGACCGCAAGGAGCGCCCUAGGGUAAAACCGGUGACUGGGGCUAAGUCGUAACAAGGUACC
rnacentral:rRNA from 1 species